GUGUUCCCAUCGCGUGGAUUGUCUACGACAGUAUAACGAGCACCACAAGCCCGGGUUUAUUUAGAGUUUGCUCUCCUAGGCAGAUUGCCUACCACGGCUGACGACCUCCACCUGCCCGGGUUUAUUGUUCGGAGUUUGCUCUCCUAGGCAGACUGCCUACCACGGCUGACGAGCUCCACCUGCCCGGGUUUGUUGUUCGGAGUUUGCUCUCCUAGGCAGAUUGCCUACCACGGCUGACGAGCUCCACCUGCCCGGGUUUGUUGUUCGGAGUUUGCUCUCCUAGGUGUAUUGCCUACCACGGCUGACGAGCUCCACCUGCCCGGGUUUGUUGUUCGGAGUUUGCUCUCCUAGGUGAAUUGCCUCCCACGGCUAACGACCUCCACCUGCCCGGGUUUGUAUAGAGUUUGCUCUCCUAGGUGAAUUGCCUACCACGGCUAACGAGCCUCACCUGCCCGGGUUUGUAUAGAG